GACGGAGGAUGCAAGCGUUAUCCGGAAUGAUUGGGCGUAAAGCGUCCGCAGGUGGCAGUUCAAGUCUGCUGUCAAAGACCGGGGCUUAACUUCGGAAAGGCAGUGGAAACUGAACAGCUAGAGUAUGGUAGGGGCAGAGGGAAUUCCUGGUGUAGCGGUGAAAUGCGUAGAGAUCCGGAAGAACACCGGUGGCGAAGGCGGUCUGC
rnacentral:rRNA from 1 species